GAUGAACGCUGGCGGCGUGCUUAACACAUGCAAGUCGAACGGUGAAGGCGGAGCUUGCUCUGCUGGAUCAGUGGCGAACGGGUGAGUAACACGUGAGCAAUCUGCCCCUGACUCUGGGAUAAGCGCUGGAAACGGCGUCUAAUACUGGAUACGAGCUGCGAAGGCAUCUUCAGCAGCUGGAAAGAAUUUCGGUCAGGGAUGAGCUCGCGGCCUAUCAGCUUGUUGGUGAGGUAAUGGCUCACCAAGGCGUCGACGGGUAGCCGGCCUGAGAGGGUGACCGGCCACACUGGGACUGAGACACGGCCCAGACUCCUACGGGAGGCAGCAGUGGGGAAUACUGCACAAUGGGCGAAAGCCUGAUGCAGCAACGCCGCGUGAGGGACGACGGCCUUCGGGUUGUAAACCUCUUUUAGCAGGGAAGAAGCGAAAGUGACGGUACCUGCAGAAAAAGCGCCGGCUAACUACGUG
rnacentral:rRNA from 1 species